rnacentral:rRNA from 1 species
ACUCCUACGGGAGGCAGCAGUGGGGAAUUUUACGCAAUGGGGGAAACCCUGACGUAGCGACACCGCGUGAGCGAAGAAGCCCUUUGGGGUGUAAAGCUCUGUCAGCUGGAACGAAAACAAUGACGGUACCAGCAGAGGAAGCAUCGGCUAACUACGUGCCAGCAGCCGCGGUAAGACGUAGGAUGCGAGCGUUGUCCGGAUUUAUUGGGCGUAAAGAGUUCGUAGGUGGUUUGUUAAGUUUGGUGUUAAAGAUCGGGGCUCAACCCUGGGACUGCACUGAAUACUGACAGACUCGAGUGUGGUAGAGGCUAGUGGAAUUCCCAGUGUAGCGGUGAAAUGCGUAGAUAUUGGGAAGAACACCGGUGGCGUAGGCGACUAGCUGGGCCAUAACUGACGCUGAGGAACGAAAGCCAGGGGAGCGAAUGGGAUUAGAAACCCCGGUAGUCCCA